CCUUGCUUAAGAGAAAUUUCUCUUAUGAAAGACUUGGAACAUGAAAACUUGGUUAGGUUUCGGGAUGCUUUUUUAUAUAAAAAAGUGCAUUUGGUGAUGGACUCUUUGAAUACCAGCCUGGGGGCCUUCUUGAAUGCAACUUGAAUGAGGCAGCUUGAGAAUGUUUACCAUAUCUUACCACCAGAGACGCAAAUACUGUUAGAUAUAACACAUAAGAAGUUUAAUCUUUUCAUGAAAAAGUUUUUGCUUUAAAUUUUGGUACGUGUCUCAUAUUUACACUCUCAUGAUAUCCUUCACCGAGAUCUUAAACCCGACAAUGUGCUGAUAAAUACCAAGGACGAAAUUGUGAAGAUUAUUGAUUUUAAUUUAGCCAGAAUGGGUGGUGCUCAUUAUGGAAGAUAUUCUUAUGAUGUUUCAACGGUGGCAUAUAGAGCUCCCGAAGCCCUAUUAGGUUCAGGGCAUACCAAAGCAUCUGACAUGUGGUCUGUUGGCUUUAUAAUGUUUUUUUUAUAU